UACGAAGGGGGCUAGCGUUGUUCGGAAUUACUGGGCGUAAAGCGCACGUAGGCGGACAUUUAAGUCAGGGGUGAAAUCCCGGGGCUCAACCCCGGAACUGCCUUUGAUACUGGGUGUCUUGAGUGUGGAAGAGGUGAGUGGAAUUGCGAGUGUAGAGGUGAAAUUCGUAGAUAUUCGCAGGAACACCAGUGGCGAAGGCGGCUCACUGGUCCACAACUGACGCUGAGGUGCGAAAGCGUGGGGAGCAAACAGG
rnacentral:rRNA from 1 species